rnacentral:rRNA from 1 species
CAAGUCGAGCGAAUCGAUGGGAGCUUGCUCCCUGAGAUUAGCGGCGGACGGGUGAGUAACACGUGGGUAACCUGCCUGUAAGAUUGGGAUAACUCCGGGAAACCGGAGCUAAUACCGGAUAACAUUUUGAACCGCAUGGUUCAAAAUUGAAAGAUGGUUUCGGCUAUCACUUACAGAUGGACCCGCGGCGCAUUAGCUAGUUGGUGAGGUAACGGCUCACCAAGGCAACGAUGCGUAGCCGACCUGAGAGGGUGAUCGGCCACACUGGGACUGAGACACGGCCCAGACUCCUACGGGAGGCAGCAGUAGGGAAUCUUCCGCAAUGGACGAAAGUCUGACGGAGCAACGCCGCGUGAACGAUGAAGGCCUUCGGGUCGUAAAGUUCUGUUGUUAGGGAAGAACAAGUACCAGAGUAACUGCUGGUACCUUGACGGUACCUAACCAGAAAGCCACGGCUAACUACGUGCCAGCAGCCGCGGUAAUACGUAGGUGGCAAGCGUUGUCCGGAAUUAUUGGGCGUAAAGCGCGCGCAGGUGGUUUCUUAAGUCUGAUGUGAAAGCCCACGGCUCAACCGUGGAGGGUCAUUGGAAACUGGGGAACUUGAGUGCAGAAGAGGAAAGUGGAAUUCCAAGUGUAGCGGUGAAAUGCGUAGAGAUUUGGAGGAACACCAGUGGCGAANGCGACUUUCUGGUCUGUAACUGACACUGAGGCGCGAAAGCGUGGGGAGCGAACAGGAUUAGAUACCCUGGUAGUCCACGCCGUAAACGAUGAGUGCUAAGUGUUAGAGGGUUUCCGCCCUUUAGUGCUGCAGCUAACGCAUUAAGCACUCCGCC